AACGAAGAAGCUUUCCACUGGUUGUAAGUUUUUUAGGAUCAAUGAGCAAUUAAAUUGGUAUGAAAUUUUACCAAGAAAGGAAAUGAAAUGAAUCAGAAACGUAAACAUAAAAGCAUUUAUCCAAGAAACUAAAAAGAUUCCCACCAAGUAGAAAGUUCCUUAGGACCAAUGAAAAAUUAGACUGGCAUGUCAUUUUGUGAGGAAAUGAUAUGAAAUGAAUCAGAUAUGUCAAUAUAAAAGCACAUAUCUAAGAAAAAGCUUUCUACCAAGAUUUAAGUUCUUUAAGACAAAUGAGAAAAUAAACUGCCAAGUUAUUUAAAGAGGACAGGAAAUGUAAUGAAU